rnacentral:rRNA from 1 species
UAAGGAAUAUUGGUCAAUGGACGCAAGUCUGAACCAGCCAUGCCGCGUGGAGGAUGAAGGUCCUCUGGAUUGUAAACUUCUUUUAUCUGGGGCGAAAAAAGGGUUUUCUAACCCGUCUGACGGUACCAGAUGAAUAAGCACCGGCUAACUCCGUGCCAGCAGCCGCGGUAAUACGGAGGGUGCAAGCGUUAUCCGGAUUCACUGGGUUUAAAGGGUGCGUAGGCGGGCCUGUAAGUCAGUGGUGAAAUCCUGCAGCUUAACUGCAGAACUGCCAUUGAUACUAUAGGUCUUGAAUGUCCUGGAGGUUUGCGGAAUAUGUCAUGUAGCGGUGAAAUGCUUAGAUAUGACAUAGAACACCUAUUGCGAAGGCAGCAGGCUACGGGAUGAUUGACGCUGAGGCACGAAAGCGUGGGGAUCAAACAGG